GGAACUUCCGCAUGGACGAAAGUCUGACGGAGCACGCCGCGUGAGUGAUGAAGGUUUUCGGAUCGUAAAGCUCUGUUGUUAGGGAAGAACAAGUACCGUUCGAAUAGGGCGGUACCUUGACGGUACCUAACCAGAAAGCCACGGCUAACUACGUGCCAGCAGCCGCGGUAAUACGUAGGUGGCAAGCGUUGUCCGGAAUUAUUGGGCGUAAAGGGCUCGCAGGCGGUUUCUUAAGUCUGAUGUGAAAGCCCCCGGCUCAACCGGGGAGGGUCAUUGGAAACUGGGGAACUUGAGUGCAGAAGAGGAGAGUGGAAUUCCACGUGUAGCGGUGAAAUGCGUAGAGAUGUGGAGGAACACCAGUGGCGAAGGCGACUCUCUGGUCUGUANCUGACGCUGAGGAGCGAAAGCGUGGGGAGCGAACAGGAUUANAUACCUGGUAGUCCCCCCGUAACGAUGAGUGCUAAUGUUAGGGGUUUCCCCCCUUAUNGUUGCAGCUAAGCAUUAAGCACCCCCCUGGGGAGUACGGUCGCAAGACUGAAACUCAAAGAAUUGACGGGGCCCGCCCAAGCNGUGGAGCAUGUGGUUAAUUNGAAGCNAACGCGAAGAACCUUACCAGGUCUUGACAUCUUNUGACAAUCCUAGAGAUAGGACGUCCCCUUCGGGGGCAGAGUGACAGGUGGUGCAUGGUUGUCGUCAGCUCGUGUCGUGAGAUGUUGGGUUAAGUCCCGCAACGAGCGCAACCCUUGAUCUUAGUUGCCAGCAUUCAGUUGGGCACUCUAAGGUGACUGCCGGUGACAAACCGGAGGAAGGUGGGGAUGACGUCAAAUCAUCAUGCCCCUUAUGACCUGGGCUACACACGUGCUACAAUGGACAGAACAAAGGGCAGCGAAACCGCGAGGUUAAGCCAAUCCCACAAAUCUGUUCUCAGUUCGGAUCGCAGUCUGCAACUCGACUGCGUGAAGCUGGAAUCGCUAGUAAUCGCGGAUCAGCAUGCCGCGGGAAAC
rnacentral:rRNA from 2 species